CAAUAAAGAAAAACAAACAAACAAAAAGUUUAGCAAGCUUUUCCUACAUCUUCCACUAAGUUCAGUAAAUAAUUCAGAGAAAAUAAGUUCAAAGAAUAUCCUAAUUCUUCACUGAAUUCUUCUGACAGUCUGUUAACAAACAGAGAUAUCUGGGUGGUUGAAAUCAGGAUGAAAGCCUGCAAGAGCGAUCCCUCUUUGUUGCUGAAGAAGAAGGCUUUUUCCACAGACUCCCCUGCUCCGCCUGAUGAAGUAGCCUGUAGAAGACCCCAACCAGUGGACAUAAUUUGUUGCUGUGUUAUCCUGUAACUCACAUACUAUGGCACUUGCAAGAACCUUCUUGGUGUUCAUUCAGCUGUGAAACAAAACAGUUCAAGGAGCAGAGCUGCAUGAUAUCUAUCUGGGAGCAACAUAGAGGAUAAUUUCAGGAGAACUGAGUUAGACUGACUUGAUGUGCCCUGGCUAAUUUUAAUCUACUCUUGGAUCAUCUACUAGAGCAAAGCAAAAUGCAUAUUCUAGCACAGAGAUAGCAUCUCCUCCCCCAAAAUCUACUCCUAGUACCUUUAGUAAAUCCCUGUGAAGUAAUUGAACAUCUCAGCUUGGAUAUUCAUUUGUCCUCAAGACAGGCAGUCUGUCAAAAUGGUGUCUGACAUUAAAGAGAGAAUAAAGAGAAGAUGUGUCAUUGAAUUCCUUCACACACACACACACACAAAAUGGAACUAUUUGACAUUGACUCUGAAUGUUUUGGAGAUCAAGAUUUGGACAGGAGCAUCCUGAAGCAGUAGGAGCUAUGUUUCAGCAGUGGCAACAGUGGGUCACCUCCAGUGUUUCCAAGAAAAUACAUAGGAGGAAUUACUUUCAAGGUGACAUAUGCAGUUCAAGACAAUUCCUCUUCUCUCAGUGCAGUCCUGACAAGCCAAAAGGUUGGACGCCCAUGGACUACUGCCUCUCUUUUGUUAUGAAUGACACUGGAAAAGAAGGCUGUCAAGCAAGUACUGUCACAUGUGGAUUAUCAGUUUGAGAGGAAGACACUGAAAGGCAUAAGAUUUCAGAAUAAUCAUACAAUCAAAGAAUCAUUAAGACCACUGAAAAUGUCACUAAGAUCAUCUAGUCCGACCAUCAACCCAUGAUCACCAUGUUCCCUAAGCCGUGUCUCUAAGUGCCAUGUCUACAUGUUUCUUGAAAACCUCCAGGGAUGGUGACUCCAUUUCUUCCCUGGUCAGUUUGUUCCAAUACAUUAACACUCCAAGAAGAAAUUUUCCUAAUGUCCAACCUGAACCUCCCCUCGUGCAACUUAAAGCCGUUCUCUCUCAUCCUAUUGCUGUUACCUGGGAGAAGAAUCCAAUCUCCACCUUGCCACAAUUUCCUUUCAGGCUGCUGUAGUGAGCUACAAAGUCUCUCCUGAGCCUCCUCUACUCAAGACUUCACAAUCCCAGUUCCCUUAGCCACUCCUCAUAAGUCUUGUGCUCCAGAUCUAAUUAAAGGGAAUAUUCUCAUUAGACAGUACCUUAUUUAUAGAUAAUUAAUUGUAUAGGAAUAUAAAAUCAGAUAAUCUAUUUUCUUCCUUCAGAGAAAUUAUUUUUCUGGUUUAUUUUUAGAUAUUUUGACUGUCUAUAUUGUUGGGCUGAACUUGCCAAACUUCAUAGUAUCCAUAUACAUCCUAAGCCCACAGGUCUAGCCCAUCAGACCAAUUUAAAGGGGAUCAAAAAGUUGUCUACAUGCUCAGCACCAGAAUCCUGAGUGAAAUAUAUGUGCCAGGACUUUUUUGUUAAGAGGCUAUAAUGAUUUAUUUAUACAGUUUGCUACUUUUGGAGAAAUUCUACAUGUUGUUAAUAUGUAUAAAUUUACAUUUUUCAGUACUUAAGAGAUUUUAAUUUUUAUUAAAGCAUAUAAAAAUUGCAGAUGUAGCAGAUUUUCUAAGAUACAGCAAGUUAGCAACUUUUUCCUGGAUUCUUUUUGUACCAUACUUUCUUAUAUUAUUGUAGAUUAUAUGGCACAAAGCACUCAUCUGAGAAGCUUGAAAAAUAUUAAAGAUAUUACUUGAAGUUAGAGAAUUACCCCCCAAAUAUAUUAUUUUAUAGAAGUGAUAGAAUUCUGUACAUAUAUGUAUAAACAAAUAUAAAACUUACAUAAAUUUAAAAUAUAUUCCAUGUGUUUGUAUGCAUGUACAUAUAUAUAUGCAUAUAUAUAUAUAUGGGGUACACAUAUACUCCAUGGAAAAUUCAUAAAUACUUCCUCAUAUUCAUACAAAAAUGUAUGUAUCAUAUUUGAAUUAUUAGAGUGCAAGAUGCUGAAUAUUUUUUAGAGAGCAUAAAAUGUAUUUCUUGUGACUGAAAAAAUGUGACUGGAAAAAUGUGAUCUAAAAUGAGGAAUUAGCCAAAUAUUUCAGAUUCAGAAAGAGCAUAGCAACCUGUUGCUGCUAUCAGUAAAGCUGGAUAGCAUGGUCUUCCUGGAAUGGAUUCUGUACAUGGUUAAUCAAAUAGUCAUUAAUUCAAAUCCUCUGAAUUACUGUGAAAAGUGAAUUCAUGUACAUAUCUUUUCUCUCAAAAGGAAGUUGCCUACCUUGUAUCCUGUGAUAAAGAUUUAUUCUAUUAAAACCAUAAAAGGCUCACUGAGCAAAAUGGGAGAUUUGUGAUCCAUCUUAGAGUAAUUUUUUUUCUACCUUUUUAGUGAAAAUACUAUCAUGCUUUCUAUAGACAUACAGAAUAUACUGUCAGUGAAUUCACUGUCACAGUGAAUUAACCCCCUUCUCAGAAGCUCGGUGUACCCUUUUUGAUAAUUUGAUAAUUUGUGUUUCAGUAAUUGCUGCUGGGGCACUUUUGUAGGCCAUUUAUAGUUUGCUGUACUUGUGUUAUUCAAUAUUCACAUAAUCAAUAAGAAACAUUAGCACAUACAUACAGGACACAUCUAAGGCAUGAUCCUAUUGAAGAUUUUUAAUUAUGGAGAUUUCUAAAACUGCCUUUAAAUCCUCUCCAGAUUUUCAGAUAAAUAAACUUGCACAAGAUACAGCAACAAUGACAUACCAAAAAAAAAAAAAAAAAAGG
ensembl:lncRNA